rnacentral:lncRNA from 1 species
UUAGCUCUCUCUCUCUCUCUACCAUCAUAUUUUCUUUAUUUCUUUCUCUUUUAGAAUUAUGGAUAUCGCAAACAUUGAGGAGAUGCAAAUUAGCGUAUGUUGUCAUCUACAAUAAAGGAAGAAGAUAUGCAAAGGGUGCAUUUUUAGUAGCCAAUGCUUGCUGAAGAAAUUUACAUAAGGUUUGUGAAGAAAUGCUUGCUGAAGAAAUUUACGUAAGGUUUGUGAAGAAAUGCAAAGCGUUAAGAGCCAUAAAUUGGAUGGAUAUGGAUCCUAGACAGAGAGGAUACCCUUUUACACUAAAUCUGGCAAUCAAGAUGGGGAGAGUUCAAGUAAUUAAGGAUUGUGAUCGGUCUACCCACAUGUUAGGCAUUUCAAGCCUGUUUGCACCAUUUUCCCUGAAACUUAAAAGAUGGGAUCUUCCUCUGUCACCCAGGCCGGAGUACA